AUGCAAUGUCAAGAACCAAGAUCUCUCUUAAGCUCUCAAAGAAGAAUUACAUAAAGCAAUUGUAUUGAAUAAUUGAUAAUCUGUCUGUACAAUAGAAAAAGAGAUGCUUUAUAUAGCCUAAAUUAAGACCCAUGAUCUUUGCCACUUCCCACUACUAUACAUGGACCCAUGAUCUUUGCCACUUCCCACAACUAUGCAUGG
rnacentral:lncRNA from 1 species